rnacentral:rRNA from 1 species
GGGCCCGCACAAGCGGUGGAGCAUGUGGUUUAAUUCGAUGAUACGCGAGGAACCUUACCAGGGCUUAAAUGUAAGUUGCAUGGAUCAGAGAUGAUCCUUUCUUCGGACUACUUACAAGGUGCUGCAUGGUUGUCGUCAGCUCGUGCCGUGAGGUGUCAGGUUAAGUCCUAUAACGAGCGCAACCCCUAUCGUUAGUUGCCAGCAAGUGAAGUUGGGUACUCUAGCGAGACUGCCGGUGCAAACCGAGAGGAAGGUGGGGAUGACGUCAAAUCAUCACGGCCCUUACGUCCUGGGCUACACACGUGCUACAAUGGCCGGUACAGAGAGCAGCCACUACGCGAGUAGGAGCGAAUCUUCAAAGCCGGUCUCAGUUCGGAUCGCAGUCUGCAACUCGACUGCGUGAAGCUGGAAUC